UACGUAGGGUGCGAGCGUUUGUCCGGAAUUAUUGGGCGUAAAGAGCUCGUAGGCGGUGUGUCGCGUCGGCCGUGAAAACCUGGGGCUCAACUCUGGGCGUGCGGUCGAUACGGGCGGGCUAGAGUUCGGGUAGGGGAGACUGGAAUUCCUGGUGUAGCGGUGAAAUGCGCAGAUAUCAGGAGGAACACCGGUGGCGAAGGCGGGUCUCUGGGCCGAUACUGACGCUGAGGAGCGAAGCGUGGGGAGC
rnacentral:rRNA from 1 species